rnacentral:rRNA from 1 species
GUGCAGCAGUCGAGAAACCUCCGCAAUACACGAAAGUGUGACGGGGCCAUCCCGAGUGCCGUCCGCUGAGGACGGCUUUUCCCCAGUGUACAUAGCUGGGGGAAUAAGGAGAGGGCAAGCCUGGUGUCAGCCGCCGCGGUAAUACCAGCUCUCCGAGUGGUGGGGACGCUUAUUGGGCCUAAAGCAUCCGUAGCCGGCUAGGCAAGUCCUCCGUUAAAUCCAACGAUUCAAUCGUUGGGCUGCGGGGGAUACUGUCUAGCUUGGGGGCGGGAGAGGCCGACGGUAUUCCCCGGGGUAGGGGUGAAAUCCUAUAAUCCCGGGAGGACCACCGGUGGCGAAGGCUGUCGGCUAGAACGCGCCCGACGGUGAGGGAUGAAAGCU